GGUGGUACAAGGCUGAGGCUGCCAGCAACCAUGUCUCCUGUUAGCAGAGAAGGCUAACUUACAGAAGAGAGUCAAGCCAACAUAUGAAGAGAAGCAGGGAUGAGAGGCGAAUGGAGACAGAAUCCAGGAGAUGGUGUCCUGGGUAGCUGAACUGUGGAAAGCAAAACCGUGGAUAAGGGGGAACUACUAUAUUCAAAAAUGUGCAAAAUAGAGAAGAUUUCAUUGAAGAAGUCUGCUGUUUUUGGAAUGGGAAAUUAAGAUAAAAAUUGAAGCUCUCAUCUUCUAUAACAUCAUGAGUACUUUUGAGGCAUAACUGGAACAGUUAUCUACUGUGAUUCUUGCUGGGACCAAUAACCUUCUACAAAUACCAGCAUCAGCUCCCAUGAAAGGCAAAGAGCUGACAAGUAUACGGACUGCACCUCCACAUUAAGCUACCAGGAGAAACUUCCAAGUUACCCUCUUGUCACCUAUGCCCCAAAGGUGAACACUGUAAACUGCUACAGCAUGCAAUUUAGAUUCCAUAGAAAUGUGAGGAGAAAAGUUGCAAUUAUUUCUGAACCUUCCCAUCAGCCUUGUCUCUGACAGAAUUGGCCUAUUGUGGAUGGGCUUUGUCCAGAUUAGAGAAAGUAGAAGAUGCUCUUUUGGUGUAAUUGUUCAGUGUGAGACCAAGGACCCUGGUGCUACUCCAGUCAUUGCAGCUGCAUCACAACUACCCUGACAGAGGCUUUACAAAUAGCUACUUUUACAUCAAACUACAUGCAACUUGUUUUCCCUGCUGGACUUCCAUAGUUGUGAAGCCAUGAUUACCAGAAUCUCUGAUUCAAAGAUUCUUGAUUUCUUGCUCAGGGCAAGCCAGCUGCCAUGUCGUGAGAACAAUCAAGCAGCACAUGGCAACAAAUGGAGAUGGGCAGACAUGGGCUGGCAAGAAACAGGCUUGCCAACAACAGCUUGAGUGAUCCUAAAAGUGGGUCCACUAACCCCAUGUGACUGUUGCCCUGGCCAACAACUUAACUGCAACCUCAGGAGAUACCUACCCUGAGUCAGAACCACUCAGUCAAACUACUCGUGGCAUCUUAACCCCGCGUAACUGCCCCGUUGACUGGAGGAUGGCCAUUUGACAACACAUUCUUUCCUGAGGAAACUUUUGGCUUCUGGUGACUUGGGCCCCAGGCAAUUAUGUGCCAGUCACAAACUUUCUGGCUCAUCCUAGGCUUCUCAGUCUCUGUCCCUCUAUAUUGAAUUUGAUUUUGAGAAGAAGGCAUCCAAAAGAGUUGGUGUGAACCUAAUACUGUCACAAAGCUAGGAAAAUGUUGGGUUCAACAUUUGAGACAGGAAGAGAACCCCAGCUGCCUUACUAAGACUGAUUUCUAAGAGUAAAUUAUAAAAAUGAACAUUUUCUGUCUUGUAUUUUGAAUACAAAUUUUUGCAUAUAUUCGUAACUCA